rnacentral:rRNA from 1 species
GAUGAACGCUGGCGGCGUGCCUAAUACAUGCAAGUCGAGCGAACGGACGAGAAGCUUGCUUUUCUGAUGUUAGCGGCGGACGGGUGAGUAACACGUGGAUAACCUACCUAUAAGACUGGGAUAACUUCGGGAAACCGGAGCUAAUACCGGAUAAUAUUUUGAACCGCAUGGUUCAAAAGUGAAAGACGGUCUUGCUGUCGCUUAUAGAUGGAUCCGCGCUGCAUUAGCUAGUUGGUAAGGUAACGGCUUACCAAGGCAACGAUGCAUAGCCGACCUGAGAGGGUGAUCGGCCACACUGGAACUGAGACACGGUCCAGACUCCUACGGGAGGCAGCAGUAGGGAAUCUUCCGCAAUGGGCGAAAGCCUGACGGAGCAACGCCGCGUGAGUGAUGAAGGUCUUCGGAUCGUAAAACUCUGUUAUUAGGGAAGAACAUAUGUGUAAGUAACUGUGCACAUCUUGACGGUACCUAAUCAGAAAGCCACGGCUAACUACGUG